rnacentral:rRNA from 1 species
UGGGGAAUAUUGGGCAAUGGGCGAAAGCCUGACCCAGCAACGCCGCGUGAUUGAAGAAGGUCUUCGGAUUGUAAAGAUCUGUCCUAUGGGAAGAAACAAAUGACGGUACCAUAGGAGGAAGCCCCGGCUAACUACGUGCCAGCAGCCGCGGUAAUACGUAGGGGGCAAGCGUUGUCCGGAAUUACUGGGCGUAAAGGGUGCGUAGGCGGUUUUUUAAGUCAGAUGUGAAAUACCCGGGCUUAACCUGGGGGGUGCAUCUGAUACUGGGGAACUUGAGUGCAGGAGAGGAAAGUGGAAUUCCUAGUGUAGCGGUGAAAUGCGUAGAUAUUAGGAGGAACACCAGUGGCGAAGGCGACUUUCUGGACUGUAACUGACGCUGAGGCACGAAAGCGUGGGGAGCAAACA